rnacentral:rRNA from 1 species
AUUGAACGCUGGCGGCAGGCCUAACACAUGCAAGUCGAACGAGUGGCGGACGUGUGAGUAAUGUCUGUGAAACUGCCCGAUGGAGGGGGAUAACUACUGGAAACAGUAGCUAAUACCGCAUACCAUCGGAUGUGCCCAGAUGGGAUUAGCUAGUAGGUGGGGUAACGGCUCACCUAGGCGACGAUCCCUAGCUGGUCUGAGAGGAUGACCAGUCACACUGGAACUGAGACACGGUCCAGACUCCUACGGGAGGCAGCAGUGGGGAAUAUUGGACAAUGGGCGAAAGCCUGAUGCAGCCAUGCCGCGUGUGUGAAGAAGGCCUUCGGAUUGUAAAGUACUUUAAGCGAGGAGGCGUUACCAGCAGAAGAAGCACCGGCUAACUCCGUGCCAGCAGCCGCGGUAAUUC